UAACACAGCCAGUCUUCGCAAGGAGGCCUUGCUGCACCUCCUCAUACUGGUGUGUGGUGAGAGAGCCAUCCCCCACAGCCCUGCUCUCAGCCUGCAGCUCAGCAUUUUUGUCCCUGCAUCCUUUCUGCUCAAUAGGGAAGCUCAAGAAUCUUGCCCAUGGAGUUCUGGGCCUCUCUGCUGCUCCAGGUCAUCUCUUGCCUAAGAAGAGCCGAAUAGCACAUCUCUGCAGAACCCAGGUCAUGGAGGACCUACUGACAGGAGAUUAACCAGCAGUUUAAUGCAAGCUUGUCAGUGGGGGUAGGCAGGAAAUCAGAAAUCUUUCUUGCAUGACCACGGGCUCAAAUAGAAAAAAUUGCUCUGGAUAAAUGAAUCAGGCUUUCAAAUGGCUACACAUGUGAAGCUGCUAACCAACAUGAAACUGCCAUAAGAUGGGCUGUAGGGGGAUCAUCAAGGCAAGAUGCACCCCAGUGUAAGGCAAGGUGAUGGAUUCCUGUGCUGCUGGAAGUCUUUUGCCUUGGACUGCAUGAUGGAGACACAGAGCUGCUGAAGAGCCAAUGGCUCUGUCCUCUCUGGGCUUGUGCCCAGAAGGAGACCCAGCGCUGGCACUGUGGCACAGGGGGGUGAAAACCCUGUCCCUUUGUGGCAUCACUCUGAAGACAACUCGAUUUCACAGCACCUCCCAACCGUGAUCCAUCUGUAACCUUCAAGGAUGCAUCACAGCACAGUUGUGAGCGGGACAGAAUAGCAGCUUGGAGGGGCAGUGUCUGACAUUGGAGGGACUGCUGCAGCACAUGAAGCCUUGGAAACCUCCAGCAGGGACCCUGAAUCUGAUCAGAAACACCUGAACUCACACUUAACAGAAAGAGGACUUCAGCAGGGAAGCACAGAGAGGAAAACAGCUUUGUGUUAACAUUUCCAGAGGCUGAAGAGAAGCUGCAAGGAUCUGUGCCAGGCUUUCACCUCAGCUCUCUCUUGCCUCUUCCCACCUUUUCUCCUUUCCUCCACCAUCCUUUCUGUUCCCUCCAUCCACAUGGUUUGAAAUAGCAAUGUUGCUUUUUCUUGCAUUUUU